AGAACAGUCCAUGGUCCUGGUAUCUCAGAGGCAAGAAAUACAGGUGCCUGAUAGAUAGCUUCUGUUGCCAGGCAACCUUGCGCUGUAAUAGUGGUUGCUAGGAGCAUGGAUGGGGAAGGCUCAUUGACUGGGGAGUGCUUUGGAAGCCAAGAAAUGGUACCAACUGAGAUAACUACUGAAUGUUCUACCGCAUGGCACUCUAUCCACAAUGCCACCUAGAAGCUCCAGUUUAAUAUACAUUUAAGGGAUAGUCUUUGGAGAUUACAAGAAGAAAAACGAAAUCGUCCUUUACCUCAAGCACUCUGAUGGAGACUCUACUCUCUACUCUCUGUGAUCUGGUCUAUUUGGACAUGAACUGGUAGAAAGAAUCCUGGAAUUAAAGGAAAGGAAAAAAUGGCAGAAACCCUAAGGUGCUUCUCUCCUGAUUACUGAUGUCAUCAGCAUCAUUAAGCCCCUCACAAAGUCCUGCUCGUACCCAGUGCAAGCUCCGGCAGGUUCUGCCAUGUAUGAGUAUGGUCCUGACAACAGAUUGUGUCAAGCCUAACUGAGCAUGGGAAGACUCAUCGCCAUUGGCUGGCCACAUGGUGAUGAAUUCUUCGGCCAUGGUAACCUGUGAAACAAAGGCAAAUACAAAAGGUACAGCAGAGCUUUGCAAUUCCUGGCUGCUCGUGCAGUCAUGGCAGCAACAUGACUGGAAAGGGACAGAGCACUCCAAGACCCAAGAUUUUAGACAGUUUACAGACACUGGCGUAGCUAUUAGAACUGUAAAUGUGAGAUUCUUCUCCAAGGACCAACGAACAAAAUAACUCCUGGAGAAAGUGAAUUGUAUUCAUUCGGACAUUUUUGCUAUAAACAAAGCCAAAAUCUGGAUGGAAAUAUGAAUAAAUAAAAAAACAUUUUAAGCA